CACUGGGUGCGAAAGGAUCAGCUCUGAGGUGUUGUAAAGAAGCCCCGCGAGCUGGAAGCGUGUCAGUGAUGGUUGCAAAGGAAGUGUGGCUAACUUCAGUCCUCAACUUCUUCAACUUCUGGGAUUGACCACUCUAAGUGCAGUCAUCAAACUUUCUUUUAGGAGCCUUCCCAGGACUGAAUACUGAAAGCACAAGAAGCAGGAGAAGGCUCAGGGAAGGGACAAUCAUCAGGCCAGCACACUGC
rnacentral:lncRNA from 1 species